UCCUCUUCCAAUUGGCUACUGCGUUCGCCAGUCCGAACGACCGCUCGAAAACCAUCAAUGGAGGUGGCCACCACAGCUUCCAGCUUCGCGCUCCACACUUGCAUGUUAGCAACGCCAACCAUUCGCCGAGCCCGAAACACUACCCGCCCCCAUCCGACGUCGUCUCGUUCCCUUCCCAGAGCUUCCCUCUCCACCAGCUUCCUCUCUCCCUUCGCCGGCAACAGCCUCUCCUCCGAUUUCUCCGGCCACAAGCUCCGUCCUUCCUCCCUCAAUCCGGCGUCGUUUCGUGGCUCCAAAGCCAAACGCGGCGUCGUCACCAUGGUUAUUCCAUUUCAAAGAGGAAGUGCAUGGGAGCAGCCGCCUCCGGACCUGGCAUCAUAUCUGUACAAAAAUCGAAUAGUGUACUUGGGCAUGUCACUUGUUCCUUCGGUGACGGAGUUGAUACUUGCCGAGUUUCUCUACCUGCAGUACGAAGACGACACGAAGCCCAUUUACUUGUACAUAAAUUCCACUGGAACAACCAAGGGCGGUGAGAAGUUGGGUUAUGAAACAGAGGCUUUUGCAAUAUAUGAUGUCAUGAGGUAUGUCAAGCCUCCUAUAUUUACUCUUUGUGUCGGUAAUGCUUGGGGAGAAGCUGCCUUACUUUUAGCUGCUGGUGCAAAGGGAAACCGUUCUGCUUUACCCUCAUCAACAAUCAUGAUGAAGCAGCCGAUUGCAAGGUUUCAAGGCCAAGCAACAGAUAUUGAACUCACAAGAAGGGAAGUGAGGAAUGUUAAAGAUGAGUUGGUUAAGCUCUUCGCAAAGCAUAUUGGAAAGUCAACUGAGCAAAUUGAAGCAGACAUUAGGCGUCCAAAAUAUUUUAGUCCAAGUGAGGCAGUUGAAUAUGGCAUCAUUGACAAGGUACUGUACAAUGAAAGGAGUACUGAAGACAGGGGAGUUGUCUCAGACCUUAAAAAAGCACAACUUAUUCCAUAGGAAGACUUGGAAUUCUUAUCAGAAGGAAUAUUCAGCACAAAUUGUCUAUGUCCAUGCAGCAAAUGCUAAAUACUUUAAUCAAAGACUAGUUGAUGUCAAUGCAUUCUGUUGAUGCAAAUUGAAGUUUAUGCGGUGAUUGUCUUGGAGAAUGCUCAGGCAAGAUUCGCACCAUGCACGGGAAAAUCUGAGCAUCCAGCUUCCAAGUGGUAACACAUUUUUCAGUGCAGCAAAGGAAUGCAUAAUACAUAGCUUAAAUUGUAUCGAGCACAAAGAACCAUGUGUAGAACCAGUUGAAAAAAAAUGAGGCAAGUGUUUUGCCUUUUAUGUUUCAUGUACGCUUGGUGUCGGUGUAGUUAAAGAUGUUGGUCGAUUUCUGAUUGAAUGAAAACCAAACUCGAUUGAAGGUA